CUCUCAUUUUAAUAAAGCUUUAAGGGGAUUUUUGAUUUGGGAUUUUUACUUCCCCUGGACCUGGAGGAAGAGAAAGGAAGGUCAAUGAGAGCGUGAUGACGGUGCAGAGGCACCUAGGCAAAGCUCUGUGGCCUUUGGGAAAAGACACUACUUGGCUCAGGGCAUUAAAUACAUGUGUGACCUUAAUUCUUCUGUCAAAACAACAACAACAAAAUCCCCAAACUAUGAAAAGCCACAGACUUCUAGGAAUAGAAGACAAAAGGAGGAAGGAGGAGGAGGAGGAAGAUACCAAGGGGAAAAUGAUGUGAAAAGCUGAUUUUGUAGCCCUGAGCAUAUAGGAAAAGCCUCCAUGGUGAUGACUUCUUUGAAUAAAUGUUGCUUAAAGAAAAAGAAGGCACCAGAAAGAGCAGAAAACAACUGGGUGAAUGAAAGAAGAAUGUCAUGCAGAGGAGAGGACCCUGUGGCUGCUGAAUUGAGAAUGGUGUGAGAAAGUAAAGACUGAAGCAGAAAAACAGUUUGGAGGCUACUGCAACAAUCCAGGCAAGAAGUGAUGGUGGCUUCAUCAUGGAGGAAGGGAGCCACUCAGGUUCUGGAUAGCCUGGGAGGUUGAGCAAGCCAUGAAAUGGGAGAGAAAAAGAGGAAUCAAGCCUGAUUCCGAGACUGCUGGCAGGAGCGCCUGGAAGGAUGAUGGUUACCUUCUCUAUGGAGGGGAAGGUAUGGGAGAAGACAGCAUGGUGUGUGAAGAAGUCCAGAAGUUUGGUUUUGGACAUAUUAAGUUUCAGUUGCUUAGUAGAUAUAUCUUUCUUAUUUAUGUUGAAUUCUCCAUCCAACUUAGAGGGUAGACAGGGUUUCUUUUUCAGUAUUACAAUCUAACAGGAACUGAGAACUUACAGAACAGACCAGUAGGAACUGAAACAGUAGAAGGGUUGGGGAAGAGGGUUUUGAGUGUUUUUGUUUAAAUAUAAGGAGACAAAUUUACAUCCCACAAUCCGUUUUCCUUCAGCAACUAGUAGUACUUUUCUCGCAGUCUUUAACAGCUAGCCAGGGCCACUAGCUCUCAGUGUUGUACUCCCUUGGACUAGGUAAUUCUGAAGGAAAGAUCAGAAUAAUGAGAAGUAUGUGGGUCCUAUUGGGAAAGGCAGCCCACCAUGGACCCUGAAGGUCCCUGCCUGUUCUUGCUGAGUGUGCUGGAUUUUUUUUUUUUUUUUUUUUUGAGACGGAGUCUCACUCACUCUGUCGCUCAGGCUGGAGUGCAGUGGCGUGAUCUCAACUCACUGCAACCUCCGUUUUCUGGGUUCAAGCUAUUCUCUUGCCUCAGCCUCCCGAGUAGCUGGGAUUACAGGCAUCCACCACCACGCCUGACUAAUUUUUGUAUUUUUAGUGGAGACAUGUUGGCCAGGCUAGUUUUGAAACCCUGACCUCAGGUGAUCCGCCCUCGUUGGCCUCCCAAAGUGCUGGCAUUACAGGUGUGAGCCACUGCGUCCAGCCGAGUGUACUGGAUUUUAAGACUGAUCUGUCUCCUGAUACUGAAUGGUUUCUCUGGUUAGUCACACAGGCAAUUAAGCAGGUCAAAGUGGAGAAAGACUGGCUUAUUUGCUGCUUGCUCAAGGGCUGGGCCCUUAGCCCUGGGUUCCUCUCCUGUAAUGCAACCCACUGCAUGCGCAGGUAUCAUCUAGGACUAUCAUGUCAUCCCUGUGUUGUGUAUGGGGAAGGGAACUAGUGCAAAUAUGCUCAUGUUGUUUGCUGUGCUGUGCUGUUAGUAAUAAAAUCCUUUGUCUCUGA